UUGUUUUCUUUAAAAUUUUCCAUUUUAAAUUGGUUAUUUCUGAUUUAUAUAUAAAAGCAAAUAAUAAUGAUAUGGUUUGAAUAGGUAAAUUAGAAAUUUUUAAGUUCUUAGACCACAUUCAUUUUGUGAGCCUCUUGUUUUAAUUGCUUCUGUAAGUAAUAUAUUAUUUUGAAAUUUUGACGAUAGACACAUACAUAUUAUACCGUUAGCAAUAUUUCAGAGUUUAAUGUUGUCAAGCACACAAAUCAUAGAAGAAUAGUUAAUCACGUCAUUGUUGUCCAUUGAAAAAUUAGUAUGAACAUGAUGAAAAAGUACGGGAAUGUUUGUUUGUUAAACUAUUGACCGUGGUUAUGUCUUUGAAACUGUUGACUGGCAAAUAGUCUGUGAAAUGAAAUAGCACAAAUAUUUCAUUCCUUUUUUAUAUCAUGGUAUAUAGAAAAACACAUACUGAUGUAUAAUAAUAGUUAUAGUCAUUAAAUUAAAGUUUUUACCUUUUUUAAGUUUAGGGCAAGAAAUAUAGAAGAUAAAGAAAAAUAUAAACAAUUACAACUGUACAGUAGAAAUGAUCGGCAAAACAAGAUAAACAGAAGACAACAAGGCCUAAAUGGUGAGACUUCUUGGUUUUCAUGAUCAUCAACAGGUCAAUACAGAAGAGGAAACUUAAGGUUAUUACUUUUCUACAUUGUGUGCUAAUUGGAUUAAUGUGAAAUGAAAUGUGUGCUUACCUGGAAAAAGAAAAUAGGAAAUUUCUACAAAUUGGCUGUAAACAAAAUGGAGUACAAUCAUAGAUGCACAAGAACACAAUUGUGUAAUUGCAACAACCUACAUAUUCACUGAAGGAUUAUGGAGAAAUGUAGAAAAAGAUUGAAUAAUUGUACGCAGCAGCUUAAACAGAAGAAAAGUUAAAUUAACAUGAAAAGUGGUUAUUUUAUUUAUAAAUCUGCAAAUAUGAGCACAAUAUUAAUAACAUCACAAAUAGUAUUAUAUUCAUAGCGUUUUGCUUAUUAUUGUAUUGUCUCAAACAGCUAGCCUAUUGUUUUUGUAUGUCAUGUUACUCAUCAGUGAACAUUUUAUUAAAGUUUUAAUUAUC